rnacentral:rRNA from 1 species
GUGUCAGCCGCCGCGGUAAUACGUAGGGUGCAAGCGUUGUCCGGAAUCAUUGGGCGUAAAGCGCGUGUAGGCGGCUUGGUAAGUCAGCUGUGAAAGCCCAGGGCUCAACCCUGGGAUGCCGGUUGAUACUGCCAAGCUCGAGUCCGGAAGAGGAGUGUGGAAUUCCUGGUGUAGCGGUGAAAUGCGCAGAUAUCAGGAGGAACACCAAUGGCGAAGGCAGCACUCUGGGACGUGACUGACGCUGAGACGCGAAAGCGUGGGGAGCAAACAGGAUUAGAUACCCCCGUAGUCC